AAACUUUCAACAACGGAUCUCUUGGUUCUGGCAUCGAUGAAGAACGCAGGGAGAUAAGUAAUGUGAAUUGCAGAAUUCAGUGAAUCAUCGAAUCUUUGAACGCACAUUGCGCCCCUUGGUAUUCCGGGGGGCAUGCUUGUUCGAGCGUCAUU
rnacentral:rRNA from 1 species